UACAUGGGGUGCAAACGUUGCUCGGAAUCAUUGGGCGUAAAGCGCACGUAGGCGGUUCGUUAUGUCGGAUGUGAAAGCCCUCGGCUUAACCGGGGAAGUGCAUCCGAAACUGGCGAGCUUGAGUACUAAAGAGGGUCGCGGAAUUCCCGGUGUAGAGGUGAAAUUCGUAGAUAUUGGGAAGAACACCGGUGGCGAAGGCGGCGAGCUGGUCCAUUACUGACGCUGAGGCGCGACAGCGUGGGGAGCAAACAGG
rnacentral:rRNA from 1 species